GACGAACGCUGGCGGCGUGCCUAAUACAUGCAAGUAGAACGCUGAAGGAGGAGCUUGCUUCUCUGGAUGAGUUGCGAACGGGUGAGUAACGCGUAGGUAACCUGCCUGGUAGCGGGGGAUAACUAUUGGAAACGAUAGCUAAUACCGCAUAAGAGUAGAUGUUGCAUGACAUUUGCUAAAAAGGUGCAAUUGCAUCACUACUAGUUGGACCUGCGUUGUAUUAGCUAGUUGGUGGGGUAACGGCUUACCAAGGCGACGAUACAUAGCCGACCUGAGAGGGUGAUCGGCCACACUGGGACUGAGACACGGCCCAGACUCCUACGGGAGGCAGCAGUAGGGAAUCUUCGGCAAUGGACGGAAGUCUGACCGAGCAACGCCGCGUGAGUGAAGAAGGGUCUCGGAUCGUAAAGCUCUGUUGUAAGAGAAGAACGAGUGUGAGAGUGGAAAGUUCACACUGUGACGGUAUCUUACCAGAAAGCGACGGCUAACUACGUG
rnacentral:rRNA from 1 species